rnacentral:lncRNA from 12 species
GACAUCGUGGCCACCCCGCUGCCACCCGGGCGAGGUCUGUUAGCAAUAAAAACCAGCGGUACUUGCCGGGGCGGGUCCGGGCGCGGCUCCGCGGGGAAGUUCCCCCCGAAAGUUGGGCGCGGGGUGGGCUGGGGUUGUUUGGGGUUGAUUUCCUCCUUUCCUUGUUGUUGCUCUCGUUGUUCGUCGAAUUCUCUGUCGGUGACGGUGACGCUGAUGCUGUCGGUGCUGCCCUGCGGGCGGCUCAGGACAGAUUCUGAGUGGAUCUAACCAAAGCUAUUUGGAGCAGGAAUGAGGAGGGGGGGAUUUGGGGAAUUUUGUGGAUUUUGUAGAUUGUGUGGGAUUCUGUGGGACGGCGUGAGCUUUUCUGGAUUUUUCUGGAUUUUUCUGGAUUUUUCUGGAUUUUUCUGGAUUGUGUGGGUGGUGCAGAUGUUGUGGAUUGCAUGGGUUUUGUAGAUUGUGUGGAUUUCAUGGAUUGUGUGAAUUUAGGGGAUUUUGUGGAUUGUGUGGGAUUGUGUGGAUGAUGUGGAUUGUGGGGAUUUGGGGAUUUUGUGGAUUUUCUGGAUUGUGUGAAUGGAGCACAUGGUGUGGAUGGUGUGAGCUGUGUGGAUUGUGUGGGAUUGUGUGAAUUUUGUGGAUUUUGUAGAUUGUGCGAAUUUUUUGGAUCAUGUAGAUGGUGUGGAUUUUGUGGAUUGUGUGGAUUUUGUGGAUUGUGUGGAUUUUAUGGAUUGUGUGGAUGGUUUGGAUUUUGUGGAUUUUAUGGAUUGUGUGGAUUGUGUGGGAUUAUGUGAAUUUUGUGGAUGGUUUGGAUUUUAUGGAUUGUGUGGAUUUUUUGCACUGUGUGGCCUCCACAAAGCUUCUCCUUUGCCAGGCAGCCAAACCCUGGUGCCUUUUACACUCCCUGGCUAAAAUCCAUCCUGGUCCCACCAAAAUGGGCUAAAAUCCCCAGGAGCAGAGGAUCCCCAUCAGGAACUUUUCACACCUCCAGCAAAUUAAAAUUUUCCUCCACUGAGCAAAUCCUCCUCACCCAACAGGACCCUCCAGGCCAGGAGCUCCAAAUCCUCCUGAUUUUAAUCCCAAUUUGACGUUCAAAUCCCUGGGAAUUGUGUGGCAAAUCCCCCUUCUCCGAGUGGGAAUCAGAGCCCUGGUUUUACAGACCUGCAGUGGAAUUCAUGAGCCACUCACUCCCAGAAUUUCCAACAAAUGUCACCAAGGUUUGCGUUUUUUUAUAGGAGGAAAACUUCAGGCUGGGUUUUCACAAUAAAAUCUGUUUUAGUGCCUUCCCCCCGCUGCCAAAUUAGUGCUGAGUGUGCUUCUCUGUUUUGCUUUUAUGUGCCCGAG